rnacentral:lncRNA from 1 species
UGAAAUUUAAAUUUGUCGGGAAAAAGAUAAAGAUAUAUGUUAUACAGUGAUACAGGUAUUUAAAUGUACCUUAUCAUCUUAUGUGAAUGCAUGAUAUAGGGACAAACUUUGUAAGAAACUAACCCAUAUAUUUGCUAUUCUACUAAUGUACUACAUUUAGAGGACUCUCACAAUAGAGUUUCGAAAUUAAAACUGAACCAAAUUCCAGACUAGGUAGAUUUAUGUUUAAACUAUAUAUAUAGUGGCCAUAGAUUAAUUCUUAGGUCAAAUUAUACAUUAAUACUGUCGAUCAACAGAUGGAAGUGUGGCUUUUAUGCAGCUGGAGCAUAAUCAUAGCCACCGUCAUCGUCGUCAUCAUCACUACCACCCUCCGUUGUCCCAGCUGGACGAAUAUAUUUCCCGUUAUCAUCGCCAUAGCCAUUCUUUUUGCGGCAUUCGUAGACCAGGGUUGAAGCAGUAGACAUGUCGUUCUUCUUUUUUAAUUAUCUUUAGUCACUAGGUUAGUAGCGUACUGAAAGAAAGUGUGAUGC